rnacentral:tmRNA from 1 species
GGGGGCGAAAGGUUUCGACCGAGUAGAUAGAAGUAAGGGUUGCACGCUGAGGUUGUCCAGGAGGCCUCAAUAAACACCUGGCAAAAACUAAAUGCUGAUAACGAGUUAGCAUUGGCUGCUUAAAAACGGCCACAUCCUUCCAAUCUUACCUGCGUGGCUGGAAGGGUGACAAAUAGCAGGUUAGUUUAGCCUUUUUGCUCAACGAAGGCUGAACGAAAUUUUUGUUUGGGAUAGUUGGAUUAAGAGCCUGUCUAUUGGCGUUUAAUUCGACGAAGAACAAAAGAUAGACUAUGUGUGUAGACGCCUUUGCGGAAAUGCUUUGGGACGCGGGUUCGAUUCCCGCCGCCUCCACCA